AGGAUAUAUUCUAUACUUAACUAUAAGAUCAAAUCACACAAGACCUGCCAUUGCACAUUUUAUCAUUGGUAGUGAGUAAAUUUGACUAAAAGAGAAGUCUGUUCUAGCUAUUAGAUUGUCCUUUACUACUUGCAAGAAACUGUAGCUAAAUUUUAUGCAGGUACUGUCAAAUGUAUAAUAUUCAGUCAUUGAAUUAUAAAUAUUUGCACAUAAUUAUGUUGAAAAUACUUUAAAAUUCAAAUUAUCCACCAGAACUAGAUUAAUGAUAUAUGUAUUCAUUGGGAUACCAUAAAAAGCAAAAUAAUUUCUUGGCUGCCAUCUUGGGCUAAAAUCUGCCUUAUGUGCUUUUCCACGUUAGUUAGAGGCUUCUAGUUUUUGCAGUGGUACAGAAAUGGAGAUUAAGGUUGGAAUCUUUUCUCUCUGGAUCCAUCUCCGUUGUUCUGCUGAAAAAAAAGUUAAAUAUGACCUCUUCCCCAUUGAAUACUGUACAAAGUGCAUGUAUAUAUACCUCCAUCAUGGCAGCCAAAAUAAUUUUUUGAUUUACAGUAUAAAGUGAUUAUCAUUAACAAGUCAAUGAAUAUCAUGUAUCUCAUUCACAAGGAUUUGCCAAUGGUAGACAAGAACAGUGUAAUAAUGGUGUAAUAAAAUUGACUUUUGUAUGUACAUGUAUAUGUACUUUAUUUGUUGUAUUUCUUUUUCAUAGAGUAACUGUAUGGACUCCAUUACAUGGAGCAGCUUCCAAUGAUAAGAUUGAUGCUAUCUAGUGGUUAUUGGAGAAUGGUGCUCAUAUUGAGUCUAGAGAUGAUGAUUAAGAUAUGGUGUGAGUACAUAUACAGCUUAAAAAAACUGUCUCAAAUGAGAGAGAAUUAGACAGAAUUUUAUAAAUAAAGGUGCAUGUAAGCCUCUUGUUAGUGGUCCAUACUUCUGUACAUGCAUGCUUUGAUGACCUGACCUCAAGUGUGAUUGAAGCUUUUUGUGUUUCUGUAUAAGAAUUAAUAAAUUUUCAUUUAUCUUACACAUCCAAGUCUAUUUUUUUAAUUAAUUUUUUACAGGUAACUUUGUGUUUAAAACAUUAACAUUAUAAUUAUUGCAUUACCUAUAGCUACUACAGUUCACAAGAUGAUAUGCCACUUGACUAAUGAAUAUAGUGUGCUGAAGAAACUCCUCUCACUUUAGCUGCUUAUUUUGGAAGCACACAGGUAGUGACAGUGCACCUUCAAAAAGGAGCAUAUAUUGCUGUCUCUUCUAUUGUUGGUAAGACUGCUUUUGGUUGGGCUAAACAAGAAGGCCAUAGUGAUACUGCGACCAUCUUAAGAGUACAUUGAGUUUGUAGUAGAAUUUCUCUCUGAUAUUGUCAGACUAUCAUUUGUGGAUGAUAUACAGCAGUUAUUACCUGAUGAAGUCAGUUCGUCUCCCGAUACUCAACUUGAGCUAAAAAGAGACAAAGUUUUUGAUGAGUCCCUACUGGAUAAUCUUAAUUGGACUGACUUUCAUUUCUAAUCUGCAUGUUCUCAAAAUCCAAACUACUUUGCUUACUAAAGUACCUUUGCUUGAUCUCUUUUAUUACUUCCUCUACUGGUCAACCUCGUUAUUUUCUACCAAUUGUUUUUCACCAAAAACAGAAAGAGGCCUUCACUAAAACCUGCGACCCACUAGUCUCAUUCAACAGUAAACUAGGCUACAGAGUUUGUUUUGAACAUUGAUUGUUUCUUUGUUAAGUUGAGAGGAGAGGCCUUGCUUAUUUAUUGACAGUAAGUCUCCAUUCUUUCCAAAGCAGCUUUGACAUGCUGUCGAGUUUUACUCUGAGGAUCUAUUUGGAAACUACAAAGAUUGCUCUGUUUUUUGUUCAGUGAUCCUAGAGGGUUUAUCAGCCAGUGCUGCUGCAUUAGCCUACGAUGAGAAGACACUAGCAAUAUCUGCUGUGACAUAUUUUCACCAGAAGCACAGAAGAUGUGAGACUAAUAGGAAUCCUCAUCCUAUCAAAGUAUCAUACACACAAGAGAAACCCUCAUGAGAUCAGGUGCAGUAUUGAGAGAUUUUCAACCCAUUGCAUUAACUGAUGAGAGACAAAGUUUGCUGGUUAUUAGUUAAGUUUUUUAGCAUUUAUGUUGCUACUUUUGUAUGUUUAUUUCUAUUCUAUUUAUUAUCUUUUGAUCCGGUUGCUCUGUCAGUUGUUCCUAUUGACAAUCUUUUACCAGAAGGCUCAGUAUUAAAUGAGUCUCAUGCUCCUGUUAUACUGCAAGCUAUCAAUAAGAUAGUCAACGAAUGGGAGACUCUAGGAUUAUAUCUUGGAAUGAAAAAUGAAGAAUUAAAGUUAAUUCAUUUUAAAAGUUUCUAUCAAAUAGAUGUAUCCCGUAAAGACAUGAUAAUUCACUGGUUAAAGACUGGUACUGCUACAAGGGAAAAGCUGAUAGAACUGAGCACUUGAGGAUUUGGGGACAAUGUUGCUACUGAAGUAAAGCGAUUACCUACACAAUAACAAUCAAGUUUGUUAUUUUAUUAUUAUUAUUACUUAUUUUUCUGUUUUUACUUACAUACACUUCCUUCUCUUUCCCCUUUAUUUAUUAUUAUUAUACAUAAAAUAAUUAAUAAUAAUCGUUAUUGUUUCAUAUUUAUGUUAAUUCUUUCAAUUUUAAAGUUUUUAUUUUU